UCCAGUUGAUCCUGCUGGAGGUCACUGCUAUCGGGAUCCGACUAAGACAUGCAAGUCAGAGCAGCAAUGCUCGGCGAACGGCUCAGUAACACGUAGUCAACCUGCCCUUAGGUAGGGAAUAACCUCGGGAAACUGAGGGUAAUACCCUAUAGUAAAUAGAUUCUGGAAUGCUCUAUUUUAGAAAGUUUCGGCGCCUAAGGAUGGGACUGCGGCUGAUUAGACUGUUGGCGGUGUAAUGGACCACCAAAUCUAUGAUCAGUACGGGCCAUGGGAGUGGAAGCCCGGAGAGGGGGACUGAGACAAGGCCCCCAGCCCUACGGGGUGCAGCAGUUACGAAAACUUUACAAUGCGCGAAAGCGUGAUAAGGGGAUCCCGAGUGAUACAACUUUAGGUUGUAUCUGUGGCGGAGUGUAAAAAGCUCCGCAAGAAAGGGGUGGGUAAUACCGGUGCCAGCAGCCGCGGUAAUCCCGGAGCCUCAAGUGGUGGCCAGUUUUAUUGGGCCUAAAGCGUGCGUAGCCGGAUUAGUAAGUUUUCGGUGAAAUCGUUCAGCUUAACUGAACGCCGUGCCGAAAAUACUGCUAAUCUAGGGAUCGGGAGAGGUCAGGGGUAUGCCUUGGGGAGGGGUGAAAUCCUUUAAUCCUAGGUAGACCAUCAGUGGCGAAGGCGCCUGACUGGAACGAGUCCAACGGUGAGGCACGAAAGCUAGGGUAGCGAACGGGAUUAGAUACCCCGGUAGUCCUAGCCGUAAACGCUGCCCGCUCGGUAUUGCGUAAACCACGAGUUUAUGCUUUGCCGCAGGGAAGCCAUUAAGCGGGCCGCCUGGGGAGUACGGUCGCAAGGCUGAAACUUAAAGGAAUUGGCGGGGGAGUACAACAAGGGGUGAGACUUGCGGUUUAAUUGGAUUCAACGCCGGAAAUCUCACCAGGAGCGACAGCAGUAUGAAGGCCAGAUUAAAGGUCUUGCCUAACGCGCUGACGAGGAGGUGCAUGGCCACUGUCAGUUCGUGUCAUGAGAUGUCCUGUUAAGUCAGGUAACGAACAAGACCCAUGCCAUUAUUUGCAAAGCGAGCUUCGGCUUGUGCGAGCACAAUAAUGGGACUGCAUCCGCUAAGGAUGAGGAAGGUGUGGGCCACGGUGGUCAGUAUGCCCCGAAUCUCCUGGGCUACACGCGAGUCGCAAUGGUUAGGACAAUGGGCAGCUACUCCGAGAGGAGAUGCAAAUCUCGAAACCUAAUCUCAGUCCGGAUUGAGGGUUGUAACCCACCCUCAUGAAGAUGGAAUCCCUAGUAACCGUGAGCCAUUCACUCACGGUGAAUACGUCCCUACUCCUUGCACACACCGCCUGUCAAGCCACUCGAGUCGGCUUUAGGUGAGGUUUUGUUCAUUAGACGGAAUCGAACCUGAGGUUGGCGAGAAGGGUUAAGUCAACACAAGGUA
rnacentral:rRNA from 1 species